rnacentral:rRNA from 1 species
AGGCUUAACACAUGCAAGUCGAGCGCCCCGCAAGGGGAGCGGCAGACGGGUGAGUAACACGUGGGAACGUACCCUUUACUACGGAAUAACGCAGGGAAACUUGUGCUAAUACCGUAUGUGCCCUUCGGGGGAAAGAUUUAUCGGUAAGGGAUCGGCCCGCGUUGGAUUAGCUAGUUGGUGGGGUAAAGGCCUACCAAGGCGACGAUCCAUAGCUGGUCUGAGAGGAUGAUCAGCCACAUUGGGACUGAGACACGGCCCAAACUCCUACGGGAGGCAGCAGUGGGGAAUAUUGGACAAUGGGCGCAAGCCUGAUCCAGCCAUGCCGCGUGAGUGAUGAAGGCCCUAGGGUUGUAAAGCUCUUUCACCGGAGAAGAUAAUGACGGUAUCCGGAGAAGAAGCCCCGGCUAACUUCGUGCCAGCAGCCGCGGUAAUACGAAGGGGGCUAGCGUUGUUCGGAAUUACUGGGCGUAAAGCGCACGUAGGCGGACAUUUAAGUCAGGGGUGAAAUCCCAGAGCUCAACUCUGGAACUGCCUUUGAUACUGGGUGUCUGGAGUAUGGAAGAAGUGAAUGGAAUUCCGAGUGUA